rnacentral:rRNA from 1 species
GACGAACGCUGGCGGCGUGCCUAAUGCAUGCAAGUCGAGCGGGCUACGAUCUUCGGAUUGUAGCUUAGCGGCGAACGGGUGAGUAACACGUAGGUAAUCUACCCUUCAGAGGAGGACAACCUCAGGAAACUGAGGCUAAACCUUCAUACGUUCACUGGUAGGGAUACUGGUGAAGAAAGAGUUACCUUAAAGGUAGCUGCUGAAGGAUGAGCCUGCGGCCCAUCAGGUAGUUGGUGAGGUAACGGCUCACCAAGCCGAAGACGGGUAACCGGUCUGAGAGGAUGUCCGGUCACACUGGGACUGAGACACGGCCCAGACUCCUACGGGAGGCAGCAGCAGGGAAUCUUGGGCAAUGGGCGAAAGCCUGACCCAGCGACGCCGCGUGGAGGAAGAAGUCCUUCGGGGCGUAAAGCUCUGUCCUAGGGGAAGAUAAUGACGGUACCUAGGAGGAAGCCCCGGCUAACUACGUG